rnacentral:rRNA from 1 species
UACGUAGGGUGCGAGCGUUAAUCGGAAUUACUGGGCGUAAAGUGUGCGCAGGCGGCCGCGCAAGUCGAGUGUGAAAUCCCCGAGCUCAACUUGGGAAUUGCAAUGGAUACUGGCAGGCUGGAGUAUGGUAGAGGAAGGUGGAAUUCCCGGUGUAGCAGUGAAAUGCGUAGAGAUCGGGAGGAACACCAGUGGCGAAGGCGGCCUUCUGGACCAAUACUGACGCUCAUGCACGAAAGCGUGGGGAGCAAACAGG